UAAAUCAGCUCAAAAAAUCCCAAAGUUCAGGAGCAAACGGUGUCUUAAGAAUGCAUCCCUCUAGUGCUGCAUAGCAUGGGCUUUUGGAAUAGACAAUCUAAAAUCUGAAGGAUUUGCCCAAAUUCCAUGAAAUAAAUUGUAUCCAGAAAGCUUCCCAGGACCUGUGAGAUAGAAUCUGUACUUGAGAAAGGUCAUGAGAAUGGUUGAUGGUUGGAGCAUUGAGACCCAGUAAACUCCAAAUUAGGAAAAGCCAAGUAGGGAACUUCUAGUUGUUACUCUGACAAGUGCUCUGAGUGCUUUCCUUUAUUGCACAGUCCACAUUUAAAUUAUUAUUUAAAUUAUUUAAAUAUUUGCAUUUAUUUAAAGUUAAAUUAUUUAAAUUGCAUAUUUUGAUAAGUAUCUGUUGAAACUUGUUCUUUUUUGUAAAUAUUUGGGGUUUUUCCUCUCAUACAGCUACUAUGAGAGUGGUCCACCAUUUCUGUGUAGGUAGUC